rnacentral:rRNA from 1 species
GACGAACGCUGGCGGCGUGCUUAACACAUGCAAGUCGAACGGAAAGGCCCUGCUUUUGUGGGGUGCUCGAGUGGCGAACGGGUGAGUAACACGUGAGUAACCUGCCCUUGACUUUGGGAUAACUUCAGGAAACUGGGGCUAAUACCGGAUAGGAGCUCCUGCUGCAUGGUGGGGGUUGGAAAGUUUCGGCGGUUGGGGAUGGACUCGCGGCUUAUCAGCUUGUUGGUGGGGUAGUGGCUUACCAAGGCUUUGACGGGUAGCCGGCCUGAGAGGGUGACCGGCAACAUUGGGACUGAGAUACGGCCCAGACUCCUACGGGAGGCAGCAGUGGGGAAUAUUGCACAAUGGGCGGAGGCCGAAUGCAGCAACGCCGCGUGCGGGAUGACGGCCUUCGGGUGGUAAACCGCUUUCGCCUGUGACGAAGCGUGAGUGACGGUAAUGGGUAAAGAAGCACCGGCUAACUACGU